rnacentral:rRNA from 1 species
AUUGAACGCUGGCGGCAGGCCUAAAACAUGCCAGUCGCGCUGCGCGGCUGACGGGUGAGUAAUGCCUAGGAAUCUGCCUGGUAGUGGGGGCUAACGUCCGGAAACGGGCGCUAAUACCGCAUUCUAUCAGAUGAGCCUAGGUCGGAUUAGCUAGUUGGUGGGGUAAAGGCCUACCAAGGCGACGACCCGUAACUGGUCUGAGAGGAUGAUCAGUCACACUGGAACUGAGACACGGUCCAGACUCCUACGGGAGGCAGCAGUGGGGAAUAUUGGACAAUGGGCGAAAGCCUGAUCCAGCCAUGCCGCGUGUGUGAAGAAGGUCUUCGGAUUGUAAAGCACUUUAAGUUGGGAGGCGUUACCAACAGAAUAAGCACCGGCUAACUUCGUGCCAGCAGCCGCGGUAAUUC